CAGCCGCCGCGGUAAUACGGAGGGUGCAAGCGUUAUCCGGAUUUAUUGGGUUUAAAGGGUCCGUAGGCGGACUUAUAAGUCAGUGGUGAAAGCCUGUCGCUUAACGAUAGAACUGCCAUUGAUACUGUAAGUCUUGAGUAUAUUUGAGGUAGCUGGAAUAAGUAGUGUAGCGGUGAAAUGCAUAGAUAUUACUUAGAACACCAAUUGCGAAGGCAGGUUACCAAGAUAUAACUGACGCUGAGGGACGAAAGCGUGGGUAGCGAACAGGAUUAGAUACCCCUGUAGUCCCUGUCUCUUAUAA
rnacentral:rRNA from 1 species